AUGAGCCCGCGUAGGAUUAGCUAGUUGGUGUGGUAAAGGCGCACCAAGGCGACGAUCCUUAGCUGGUCUGAGAGGAUGAUCAGCCACACUGGGACUGAGACACGGCCCAGACUCCUACGGGAGGCAGCAGUGGGGAAUAUUGGACAACGGGCGAAAGCCUGAUCCAGCAAUGCCGCGUGAGUGAUGAAGGCCUUAGGGUUGUAAAGCUCUUUUACCCGGGAUGAUAAUGACAGUACCGGGAGAAUAAGCUCCGGCUAACUCCGUGCCAGCAGCCGCGGUAAUACGGAGGGAGCUAGCGUUAUUCGGAAUUACUGGGCGUAAAGCGCACGUAGG
rnacentral:rRNA from 1 species